AACGGUAAGGCCCUUCGGGGUACACGAGUGGCGAACGGGUGAGUAACACGUGGGUAAUCUGUCUCACACUCUGGGAUAAGCCUGGGAAACUGGGUCUAAUACCGGAUAUGACCUUCCCCCGCAUGGGGGUGGGUGGAAAGCGUUAUGUAGUGGUGUGAGGUGGGCCCGCGGCCUAUCAGCUUGUUGGUGGGGUAAUGGCCUACCAAGGCGGUGACGGGUAGCCGGCCUGAGAGGGCGAUCGGCCACACUGGGACUGAGACACGGCCCAGACUCCUACGGGAGGCAGCAGUGGGGAAUAUUGCACAAUGGGCGCAAGCCUGAUGCAGCGACGCCGCGUGGGGGAUGACGGCCUUCGGGUUGUAAACCUCUUUCAGCGCCGACGAAGCGAAAGUGACGGUAGGCGCAGAAGAAGCACCGGCCAACUACGUGCCAGCAGCCGCGGUAAUACGUAGGGUGCGAGCGUUGUCCGGAAUUACUGGGCGUAAAGAGCUCGUAGGUGGUUUGUCGCGUUGUCUGUGAAAACUCGCAGCUUAACUGUGGGCGUGCAGGCGAUACGGGCAGACUUGAGUACUGCAGGGGAGACUGGAAUUCCUGGUGUAGCGGUGAAAUGCGCAGAUAUCAGGAGGAACACCGGUGGCGAAGGCGGGUCUCUGGGCAGUAACUGACGCUGAGGAGCGAAAGCGUGGGGAGCGAACAGGAUUA
rnacentral:rRNA from 1 species